UACGUAGGGGGCGAGCGUUGUCCGGAUUUAUUGGGCGUAAAGAGCUCGUAGGCGGCUUAGCAAGUCGGGUGUGAAAACUCCAGGCUCAACCUGGAGACGCCACUCGAGACUGCUAUGGCUAGAGUCCGGUAGGGGACCACGGAAUUCCUGGUGUAGCGGUGAAAUGCGCAGAUAUCAGGAGGAACACCUAUUGCGAAGGCAGCUCGCUGGGACGUAACUGACGCUGAGACGCGAAAGCGUGGGGAGCGAACAGG
rnacentral:rRNA from 1 species